AAUUCGCCCUUAGAGUUUGAUCCUGGCUCAGGACGAACGCUGGCGGCGUGCUUAACACAUGCAAGUCGAACGAUGAAACGAUGACGGAGACUUCGGUCAACUGAUUUGUGGAUUAGUGGCGGACGGGUGAGUAACGCGUGAGUAACCUGCCUUUCAGUGGGGAAUAACAUUUGGAAACGAAUGGUAAUACCGCAUAAUAUAGUCGGUUCGCAUGAACUGAUUAUCAAAGAUUUAUUGCUGAAAGAUGGACUCGCGUCCGAUUAGCUAGAUGGUGAGGUAACGGCCCACCAUGGCGACGAUCGGUAGCCGGACUGAGAGGUUGAACGGCCACAUUGGGACUGAGACACGGCCCAGACUCCUACGGGAGGCAGCAGUGGGGAAUAUUGCACAAUGGGCGAAAGCCUGACCCAGCAACGCCGCGUGAAGGAAGAAGGUCUUCGGAUCGUAAACUUCUAUCCUUGGUGAAAAUAAUGAUGGUAGCCAAGAAGGAAGCCCCGGCUAACUACGUGCCAGCAGCCGCGGUAAUACGUAGGGGGCAAGCGUUGUCCGGAAUGAUUGGGCGUAAAGGGCGCGUAGGCGGCUCUUUAAGUCUGGAGUGAAAGUCCUGCUUUUAAGGUGGGAACUGCUUUGGAUACUGGAGAGCUUGAGUGCAGGAGAGGUAAGCGGAAUUCCCGGUGUAGCGGUGAAAUGCGUAGAGAUCGGGAGGAACACCAGUGGCGAAGGCGGCUUACUGGACUGUAACUGACGCUGAGGCGCGAAAGUGUGGGGAGCAAACAGGAUUAGAUACCCUGGUAGUCCACACUGUAAACGAUGAAUGCUAGGUGUAGGAGGUAUCGACCCCUUUUGUGCCGCAGUCAACACAAUAAGCAUUCCGCCUGGGGAGUACGGCCGCAAGGUUGAAACUCAAAGAAAUUGACGGGGGCCCGCACAAGCAGCGGAGCAUGUGGUUUAAUUCGAAGCAACGCGAAGAACCUUACCAGGUCUUGACAUCCACUAAAACCUGUAGAGAUACAGUGUGUCUUCGGACAUAGUGAGACAGGUGGUGCAUGGUUGUCGUCAGCUCGUGUCGUGAGAUGUUGGGUUAAGUCCCGCAACGAGCGCAACCCUUGUGAUCAGUUACUAACGGAUAGUGCCGAGGACUCUGAUAAGACUGCCGGGGACAACUCGGAGGAAGGUGGGGACGACGUCAAAUCAUCAUGCCCCUUAUGACCUGGGCUACACACGUGCUACAAUGGCCACUACAGAGAGAAGCGAGUACGAGAGUAGGAGCGGAUCUCAAAAAAGUGGUCCCAGUUCGGAUUGUGGGCUGCAACCCGCCCACAUGAAGUCGGAGUUGCUAGUAAUCGCGGAUCAGCAUGCCGCGGUGAAUACGUUCCCGGGCCUUGUACACACCGCCCGUCA
rnacentral:rRNA from 1 species